GUGCUUACUUUGACAGCACAUGUGCUAAAAUUAGAAUGAUAUGGAGAAGAUUAGCAUGGCACCUGUGCAAUGAUGACAUGCAAGUUUGUGAAGCAUACAAUAUUUUU
ensembl:snRNA U6 U6 spliceosomal RNA